rnacentral:rRNA from 1 species
CACGUAGUUAGCCGGGGCUUCUUAGUCAGGUACCGUCCUCUUUCUUCCCUGCUGAUAGAAGUUUACAUACCGAGAUACUUCUUCCUCACGCGGCGUCGCUGCAUCAGGGUUCCCCCCAUUGUGCAAUAUUCCCCACUGCUGCCUCCCGCAGGAGUCUGGGCCGUGUCUCAGUCCCAGUGUGGCCGUCCGCCCUCUCAGGCCGGCUACUGAUCGUGGGCUUGGUGGGCCGUUACCCCGCAACUACCUAAUCAGACGCGGACCCAUCGUGUACCGUACUAGAUAAGAUCUAGGCUUUCCGCCCUGUGCCAUGCGGCACUGUGCGCAUAUGCGGUAUUAGCAGCCGUUUCCGGCUGUUACUCCCCCUGUACACGGCAGGUUCGUCCACGCGUUACUCACCCGUCCGCCACUCAGCCACCCGGUCUUUGUACCGAAUACUCCGUCGGCGCUCCGUUCGACUUGCAUGUGUAGCACGCCGCAGCGUUCAUCCUGACGCCAGGACU